AGAGUUUGAUUAUGGCUCAGGAUGAACGCUAGCGAUAGGCCUAACACAUGCAAGUCGAGGGGCAGCACAUGAAGUAGCAAUACGGAUGGUGGCGACCGGCGCACGGGUGAGUAACGCGUAUGCAACCUGCCUACAACAGGGGAAUAACCCGUUGAAAGACGGACUAAUACCCCAUAACACAGGGAUCCCGCAUGGGAAUAUUUGUUAAAGAUUUAUCGGUUGUAGAUGGGCAUGCGUUCCAUUAGCUUGUUGGUGAGGUAACGGCUCACCAAGGCAACGAUGGAUAGGGGAACUGAGAGGUUUAUCCCCCACACUGGUACUGAGACACGGACCAGACUCCUACGGGAGGCAGCAGUGAGGAAUAUUGGUCAAUGGACGCAAGUCUGAACCAGCCACGUCGCGUGAAGGAAGACGGCCCUACGGGUUGUAAACUUCUUUUGUAAGGGAAUAAAGUGUAGUACGUGUACUAUUUUGCAUGUACCUUACGAAUAAGGAUCGGCUAACUCCGUGCCAGCAGCCGCGGUAAUACGGAGGAUCCGAGCGUUAUCCGGAUUUAUUGGGUUUAAAGGGUGCGCAGGCGGGAGAUUAAGUCGGCGGUGAAAUUUUGCAGCUCAACUGUAAAAGUGCCUUCGAAACUGGUUUCCUUGAGUGUGGAUGAAGUAGGCGGAAUUUGUGGUGUAGCGGUGAAAUGCAUAGAUAUCACGAGGAACUCCGAUUGCGCAGGCAGCUUACUAAACCAUAACUGACGCUCACGCACGAAGGCGUGGGGAUCAAACAGGAUUAGAUACCCUGGUAGUC
rnacentral:rRNA from 1 species